rnacentral:rRNA from 1 species
AUCCUGGCUCAGAUUGAACGCUGGCGGGCAUGCCUUACACAUGCAAGUCGAACGGCAGCACGGGAGCAAUCCUGGUGGCGAGUGGCGAACGGGUGAGUAAUAUAUCGGAACGUGCCCAGUCGUGGGGGGAUAACGUAGCGAAAGCUACGCUAAUACCGCAUACGAUCUAUGGAUGAAAGCGGGGGAUCGCAAGACCUCGCGCGAUUGGAGCGGCCGAUAUCAGAUUAGGUAGUUGGUGAGGUAAAGGCUCACCAAGCCGACGAUCUGUAGCUGGUUUGAGAGAACGACCAGCCACACUGGGACUGAGACACGGCCCAGACUCCUACGGGAGGCAGCAGUGGGGAAUUUUGGACAAUGGGCGAAAGCCUGAUCCAGCAAUGCCGCGUGCAGGAAGAAGGCCUUCGGGUUGUAAACUGCUUUUGUACGGAACGAAAAGGCUCUUUCUAAUAAAGAGGGCCCAUGACGGUACCGUAAGAAUAAGCACCGGCUAACUACGUG